rnacentral:rRNA from 1 species
AGUGAACGCUGGCGGUAGGCCUAACACAUGCAAGUCGAACGGCAGCACAGUAAGAGCUUGCUCUUACGGGUGGCGAGUGGCGGACGGGUGAGGAAUACAUCGGAAUCUACUUUUUCGUGGGGGAUAACGUAGGGAAACUUACGCUAAUACCGCAUACGACCUACGGGUGAAAGCAGGGGAUAUUCGGACCUUGCGCGAUUGAAUGAGCCGAUGUCGGAUUAGCUAGUUGGCGGGGUAAAGGCCCACCAAGGCGACGAUCCGUAGCUGGUCUGAGAGGAUGAUCAGCCACACUGGAACUGAGACACGGUCCAGACUCCUACGGGAGGCAGCAGUGGGGAAUAUUGGACAAUGGGCGCAAGCCUGAUGCAGCCAUACCGCGUGGGUGAAGAAGGCCUUCGGGUUGUAAAGCCCUUUUGUUGGGAAAGAAAAGCAGCAGGUUAAUACCCCGCUGUUCUGACGGUACCCAAAGAAUAAGCACCGGCUAACUUCGUG